UUCCCUGGAACGUCAUGAUGCUGGUGUGCCUCCGUGCCGUCGGGAUCAUCAGGGAGGAAGUCUCGUCGGGGGAAAGGAUGGCGGACCAGGGGCGCUCGCGUGUCCCCCCGGCUGCACCAGAGACAUCAGUUACAGGAGGUCUGCGUUUGAUGCCUGGGAGGACUGGCGAACUGGAACCAGCACUAACACAGCAGUGACAAGCACACAUUCUUGCAGUCCAGAUGGAUUCUCGCAGCCAGACGGUAUGAUGAGUGAGACACAUCUGCAGGAUGCGCUUUCUGGAAAUCACAUGUCUGACCUUCUCAAAACAGGCCUCUCUGUCUGCUCUGCCUCUGCAUUAACUCAUCAUCAUCAUCAGUGGCUAACACAGUGAGCAGAAUCCCAUUCCCAUAAAGGGAUCCAGAGAAGAACAGACUUUCUAUUCUCCAGGACUUACAUCACAGCCUCCACCCAAAGCCAGAGGAAAUGGGCAAGAGGGAGUUUUCCAGCGUUUUAAUGGGCAUCUCGGUUUGUGAGAACCAAAGAGCCCUGACACACUAGAACCCGCUCAGUUCUGUUUUCAGACAGACCGGACCGCAGAGCGUUUGAAAGUCCUACAACAGUUUUCACUUCCUGCAACAACAAACGGCGAACCAGCAAACACCUCUGAAGUUUCAAUCAGUCUUGAUUUUUCCAUACAGAAGAAAACACAAUUUAACUCAAUGGAAAAGACAAAGAAAGUGUAGAUAAAACUCUGGUUUUUAUCCCAAAUCUUUCUUUUCUUUUACAGAGGAGAUGUAAACACUUCUGACACCUCACCCAGAGAUUUAAACAAAGCAGAAACCCUGUCAAGCGCUCUCUAUCAGGCAAUGACUUCACCGGAAAAACAUCUCCGCUCAAUCAGGAGCACUUCAGGCAGGGUCCUGUGACAGCAGCUGAACUUUUACCGCAACGCGACGGGGAAAGCUGAGCUCGCUCUCCGCCUACCUCCAGCCAACCUUUCCAUUUCAGCGAGAAGAACAUGGCCUCCUGUGAAUCUCCUGCAUACCAUCGCUGGCUGCGGCUGAAGCUACGGCUACCACAGAGGCUCCAUGAGGAACCCUGCAAAGAGGAAGUGACUGCCUCGCUACAGGACGUGCUAUUUCUGCAAUGACCCCGCAGUCUGGUACGGACGCUGAAAAAAAAAAAAAAAAAAAACAGAGCGAAGAUCCUCUUCCAGAGAUUUCAGCCUGUUGCUUUGUGCAAAGAAUGACUAAUGAAUAAUUAAAGCUUGAAAGUUGAACUGGAGAAAUGGAAAAAAGAAGCUACAUUUUCACAGAUUUCGUCACUUCUGCUUCGAUUCAAAAGUCUUAGACUUGUAUAAAUAAACAAUGUGUUAGCAGCACAAAAUAAAUCCCCUUAGAAUUUAACAUUUUACUAAGAACCUGAACCUUUUAAUAGCAGCUGACCAGCCUGAAGUCUGGUCAUCAUUUUCAUUCUCCUGUCACUUUAAAAGCAAAGCGAAGACUUAUUUCACAGAAAAGAUUAGAAAACCACAGCUUACCCUGCCUUCCUGUUCCACUUCCUGUUCAACCCUCAGUGUCUCUUUGCAAAAGCUGCAUGUUUCACAAAGGAGUCCGACAAUUCUGAACACAAGUGUCUCACUUCAAAAACACAACAUCGUCGAGGUAAACUUGAACCCUGUUGGCAUGAAGGUCCCUUUAAAGACCCACUUUGAUAAAAAUCAUGUUUAGUGUUAAAGAAUAUAAGUUAAUGAAAAUAAAAUUCAAAGUGUUUUUAUUUUCAAAUCAUUGUGAAUCAGGAAGAUUAGUUUGAAAAACUUAAAGUCCCACUCUUGUGAAAUUUGUUCUCUGUAUUUGACCCAUCUCCCUGGGGGAGAGGUGAGCUGCAGACACAGUCGCACUCAGAAACCAACUCCCUAAUCCAACCCCUUAAUGCCGAGUGUCAAGCACGGAGGUACCGAGUCCCAUUUUUAGUCUUUAGUGUGACUCGGCCUGGAUUUGAACUCACGACCUUCCAGUCUCAGGGCGGACACUCUCCCACAAGGCCACUGAAGUGGUAAAAGAGCUAGAAAAUAUGCGUGCUUGGCCACAAGCCAACUGUUCCGCUCCAUUCUAAUGUCUCCGCUCCGACGACUAGAUCCAUAUACGCCUUUUUUUUCCUCGUUUGAACUGAAAUCUGGUGGGACUGUAAGCUAGAGGGGAAGCAUUUAAAUAGAUGGGUGAUGGGAACUGGGGGUGGGGUUGCUCUCUGCCAACAGUCCCGCCCACAAUUCAGAGGCAAAUUUCUAAAAAACUACUGCCACUCUGUAGAAACUAAUGCCUAGAACAGUAAACGUCUUUCCAUUAAUAAUGUGCACAAAACUUUAUCACAAUUCUAGAAAUGUCAAAAAAAAAAAAAAAAA